GGUUGACCAUCCACUAAAGGGAAAUCGGAAAGCCAAAAGCCAUUUAGGCGGUUUGCCAAUUGCCCCUAGCGAUUUUCGGAAAUUUAUCAGCACACAAAAGUUUUGACAUUUCUUACAAUGGACAAAGAUAAUAUUAGUAAAAUUUUUAGUUAUAGAUCUGAUGCCUUCAAUCCAGCAAUCAACAAUAGUUGUACGUACUGUCAUCUUUGAUGUUGAUCAAGUUAAUUAAUCUCCUGAGUACGUACAAUCGAAUUCCACAAUGAUCAGUCUGGGAUGGGAUGAUGGGUGGAUGAAACGGAGGCCAUUUUAGACUGUAAGAAUUUCGGCAAGGGGAGGGUCGUAGUUGAUCUCGAGGAAUAAUUGAGUUUUAACACCCAGAAUUAAGAAAGCCUUCAGAGUUUUGGAGAACACCACUAAUGCUCCGUCGUUUGAGGAAUAGAACUCCACGUACGUGACAUCUACGUUUCAUUUGUCGAAGGAAGAAGGCAGGUUGAUCCAGUUGCGAGGGUUUGCCCAACAAGGGUGAUAAUAUAUAGCAUAUAUAAAUGUUGAGAUCCUCUUUAGAGCAUGCAUGUUGAACUGAGCAUAUGCCAACGAUCUAAUUUGAAGCUGUUGUUGAGGUUGGACUGGAUUAGGGGAGUUUUUGCUAUGAUGCUCUAAAUUUGUCUAGCUUUGAUGUAGCUGAACAAGGCAAUAUGGUUGGUAGAUUCGAUGGAGGACCUGCAAAGAGGACAAAGAGGAAAAAUGUAUUGAUGUCUUUUCUUUUUUUAUUGAGAUUGUAGUUGGUAGGAAUAAUGUCAUGGAUAGCUCUCCAACAGAAAAAAAAAAAAAAAAGAUUUUCCUUUGAACUGUGAGAUUCCAGAGGGAUUUUCAGGUUUUCUCCAUUGUAUUUGUGCUAAGGAAGAGCUUCCUCAAGCUUCCUGUUGAUGUAUGCCUUAUACCCACUUUUCACAAUGUAUUUUCCCUUUUUGUCAAAAUGCCAAAGUCCACUUGUUAAUUUUCCUUA